rnacentral:ribozyme from 1 species
UGCCCAGCAACUCCUAUCCCUACCUCCACGCGGUACCGGCCGGAAACUAUGAGCAACCUUAGGGAUGA